GGAUUAGAUACCCUGGUAGUCCACGCCGUAAACGAUGAUCACUCGCUGUAUGCGAUACACAGUAUGCGGCUGAGCGAAAGCAUUAAGUGAUCCACCUGGGGAGUACGAUCGCAAGGUUGAAACUCAAAGGAAUUGACGGGGGCCCGCACAAGCGGAGGAACAUGUGGUUUAAUUCGAUGAUACGCGAGGAACCUUACCUGGGCUUAAAUGUAGAUUGCAUAAGGUGGAAACAUCUUUUCUCUUCGGAGCUAUUUACAAGGUGCUGCAUGGUUGUCGUCAGCUCGUGCCG
rnacentral:rRNA from 1 species